rnacentral:rRNA from 1 species
GACGAACGCUGGCGGCGUGCCUAAUACAUGCAAGUUGAGCGCUGAAGGUUGGUACUUGUACCAACUGGAUGAGCAGCGAACGGGUGAGUAACGCGUGGGGAAUCUGCCUUUGAGCGGGGGACAACAUUUGGAAACGAAUGCUAAUACCGCAUAAAAACUUUAAACACAAGUUUUAAGUUUGAAAGAUGCAAUUGCAUCACUCAAAGAUGAUCCCGCGUUGUAUUAGCUAGUUGGUGAGGUAAAGGCUCACCAAGGCGAUGAUACGUAGCCGACCUGAGAGGGUGAUCGGCCACAUUGGGACUGAGACACGGCCCAAACUCCUACGGGGGGCAGCAGUAGGGAAUCUUCGGCAAUGGACGAAAGUCUGACCGAGCAACGCCGCGUGAGUGAAGAAGGUUUUCGGAUCGUAAAACUCGGUUGGUAGAGAAGAACGUUGGUGAGAGUGGAAAGCUCAUCAAGUGACGGUAACUACCCAGAAAGGGACGGCUAACUACGUG